rnacentral:rRNA from 1 species
UACGGAGGGUGCGAGCGUUGUCCGGAAUCAUUGGGCGUAAAGGGCGCGUAGGUGGCGGGACAAGCGUGCGGUGAAAGCCUGGGGCUCAACCCCGGGUCGGCCGUGCGAACUGUUUUGCUUGAGCACUGUAGAGGCAGGCGGAAUUCCGGUGGAGCGGUGAAAUGCGUAGAGAUCGGAAAGAACACCAACGGCGAAAGCAACUCUGCUGGGCCGACACUGACACUGAGAGACGAAAGCUAGGGGAGCGAAUGGG